AGAGAUUUAAGUUAAUUAAAACUAAUAGCCUUCAAAGCUAUAAUUGACCACAUAAUCAAUCUCUA
rnacentral:tRNA from 1 species